GACGAACGCUGGCGGCGUGCUUAACACAUGCAAGUCGAACGGAAAGGCCCUGCGUUUGUGGGGUGCCCGAGUGGCGAACGGGUGAGUAACACGUGUGUAACCUGCCCUUCACUUUGGGGUAAGUUAAGGAAACUGGGGCUAAUACCGGAUAGGAUCUCCUGUUGGGUGGUGGGGGGGGGAAAGUUUUGGCUGUAGGGGAUGAACGCGCGGCUUAUGAGCUUGUUGGUGGGGGAGUGGCUUCCCAAGGCUGGGACGGGUCCCCGGCAGGAGAGGGGGAACGGCCACACUGGGACUGAGAUACGGACCAGACGCCUACGGGAGGCAGCAGUGGGGAAUAUGGCACAAUGGGCGGAAGCCUGAGGCAGCGACGCCGCGUGCGGGAUGACGGCCUUCGGGUUGUAAACCGCAUUCGCCUGUGACGAAGCGUGACUGACGGUAAUGGGUGAAGAAGCACCGGCUAACUACGUG
rnacentral:rRNA from 1 species